GUGCCCCCCCCUCGGUAAUACGAAGGGCCCGAGCGUUGCGCGGAAUCAUUGGGCUUAAAGCGUGCGUAGGCGGACUCAUAAGCACUUUGUGAAAUCCCUCGGCUCAACCGGGGAACUGCUUGGUGAACUGUGAGUCUUGGGGCAAGUAGGGGCUGUCGGAACGAUAGGUGGAGCGGUGAAAUGCGUUGAUAUCUAUCGGAACGCCAAAGGCGAAGGCAGGCAGCUGGGCUUGUUCUGACGCUCAGGCACGAAAGCGUGGGGAGCGAACGGGAUUAGAUACCCCGGUAGUCCACGCCGUAAACGAUGUGCACUAGGUCGAGGAGGCUCUGACGCUAUUCUCGGCCGAAGCAAAAGUGUUAAGUGCACCGCCUGGGGAGUACGGUCGCAAGGCUAAAACUCAAAGGAAUUGACGGGGGCUCACACAAGCGGUGGAGCAUGUGGCUUAAUUCGAAGCAACGCGAAGAACCUUACCUGGGUUUGACAAUGCAGGGAUUAGCCCGGUGAAAGUCCGGGUGACGCCCUUCGGGUUGGAACCUGCACAGGUGCUGCAUGGGCUUGUCGUCAGCUCGUGUCCGUGAGGUCGUUACGUUUAAGUCCUUUUAACGAA
rnacentral:rRNA from 1 species